rnacentral:rRNA from 1 species
UAGGGAAUCUUCCACAAUGGACGAAAGUCUGAUGGAGCAACGCCGCGUGUGUGAUGAAGGGUUUCGGCUCGUAAAACACUGUUGUAAGAGAAGAAUGACAUUGAGAGUAACUGUUCAAUGUGUGACGGUAUCUUACCAGAAAGGGCGGCUAAAUACGUACCAG